CGAACGCUGGCGGCGUGCUUAACACAUGCAAGUCGAGCGAUGAAGUUUCUUCGGAAAUGGAUUAGCGGCGAACGGGUGAGGAACACGUGAAGAAUCUGCCCUCCACUUUGGGAUAACACCGGGAAACCGGUGCUAAUACCGAAUAUUGAAACAUAAGUGGCAUCACUGAGUUUUGAAAGAAUUUUGGUGGAGGAUGACUUCGCGGCCUAUCAGCUAGUUGGUGAGGUAAUGGCUCACCAAGGCAACGACGGGUAGCCGGCCUGAGAGGGCGACCGGCCACACUGGGACUGAGACACGGCCCAGACUCCUACGGGAGGCAGCAGUGGGGAAUAUUGGGGCAAUGGAGGGAACUCUGACCCAGCGACGCCGCGUGCGGGAUGAAGGCCUUCGGUUGUAAACCGCUUUCAGCAAGGAAGAAGCGAAAGUGACGGUACUUGCAGAAGAAGCACCGGCUAACUAUGUGGCAGCAG
rnacentral:rRNA from 1 species